AUUGAACGCUGGCGGCAUGCCUUACACAUGCAAGUCGAACGGCAGCACGGGUGCUUGCACCUGGUGGCGAGUGGCGAACGGGUGAGUAAUACAUCGGAACGUACCUUAUCGUGGGGGAUAACGCAGCGAAAGCUGUGCUAAUACCGCAUACGCCCUGAGGGGGAAAGCGGGGGAUCGAAAGACCUCGCGCGAUUAGAGCGGCCGAUGCCUGAUUAGCUUGUUGGUGGGGUAAAAGCCCACCAAGGCGACGAUCAGUAGCUGGUCUGAGAGGACGAUCAGCCACACUGGGACUGAGACACGGCCCAGACUCCUACGGGAGGCAGCAGUGGGGAAUUUUGGACAAUGGGGGAAACCCUGAUCCAGCAAUGCCGCGUGAGUGAAGAAGGCCUUCGGGUU
rnacentral:rRNA from 1 species